AUUGAACGCUGGCGGCAGGCCUAACACAUGCAAGUCGAACGGUAACAGGAAACAGCUUGCUGUUUCGCUGACGAGUGGCGGACGGGUGAGUAAUGUCUGGGAAACUGCCUGAUGGAGCGGGAUAACUACUGGAAACGGUAGCUAAUACCGCAUAACGUCGCAAGACCAAAGAGGGGGACCUUCGGGCCUCUUGCCAUCGGAUGUGCCCAGAUGGGAUUAGCUAGUAGGUGGGGUAACGGCUCACCUAGGCGACGACCCCUAGCUGGUCUGAGAGGAUGACCAGCCACACUGGAACUGAGACACGGUCCAGACUCCUACGGGAGGCAGCAGUGGGGAAUAUUGCACAAUGGGCGCAAGCCUGAUGCAGCCAUGCCGCGUGUAUGAAGAAGGCCUUCGGGUUGUAAAGUACUUUCAGCGGGGAUGAAGGGAGUAAAGUUAAUACCUUGGCUCAUUGACGUUACCCGCAGAAGAAGCACCGGCUAACUCCGUG
rnacentral:rRNA from 1 species